GUGGGGAAUUUUGGACAAUGGGCGCAAGCCUGAUCCAGCAAUGCCGCGUGCAGGAAGAAGGCCUUCGGGUUGUAAACUGCUUUUGUACGGAACGAAACGGUCCUGGUUAAUACCCGGGGCUAAUGACGGUACCGUAAGAAUAAGCACCGGCUAACUACGUGCCAGCAGCCGCGGUAAUACGUAGGGUGCAAGCGUUAAUCGGAAUUACUGGGCGUAAAGCGUGCGCAGGCGGUGCUGUAAGACAGGCGUGAAAUCCCCGGGCUUAACCUGGGAAUUGCGCUUGUGACUACAGUGCUGGAGUGCGGCAGAGGGGGAUGGAAUUCCGCGUGUAGCAGUGAAAUGCGUAGAUAUGCGGAGGAACACCGAUGGCGAAGGCAAUCCCCUGGGCCUGCACUGACGCUCAUGCACGAAAGCGUGGGGAGCAAACAGGAUUAGAUACCCCUGUAGUCC
rnacentral:rRNA from 1 species